rnacentral:rRNA from 1 species
GAUGAACGCUGGCGGCGUGCCUAAUACAUGCAAGUCGAGCGAACAGACGAGGAGCUUGCUCCUCUGACGUUAGCGGCGGACGGGUGAGUAACACGUGGAUAACCUACCUAUAAGACUGGGAUAACUUCGGGAAACCGGAGCUAAUACCGGAUAAUAUAUUGAACCGCAUGGUUCAAUAGUGAAAGACGGUUUUGCUGUUACUUAUAGAUGGAUCCGCGCCGCUUUAGCUAGUUGGUAAGGUAACGGCUUACCAAGGCAACGAUGCGUAGCCGACCUGAGAGGGUGAUCGGCCACACUGGAACUGAGACACGGUCCAGACUCCUACGGGAGGAAGCAGUAGGGAAUCUUCCGCAAUGGGCGAAAGCCUGACGGAGCAACGCCGCGUGGGUGAUGAAGGUCUUCGGAUCGUAAAACUCUGUUAUUAGGGAAGAACAAAUGUGUAAGUAACUAUGCACGUCUUGACGAUACCUAAUCAGAAAGCCACGGCUAACUACGUG